rnacentral:lncRNA from 1 species
GUUUCACACAAACAAUAUAAGCAUUCACCUUCACGCAAUAUUUCUAGUACAUAUAUAAACUCAUUUCAUGGUACUUCUCAGUUCUUUCUGCAGCAGCAUGUGCUACUACUGCCUUCAAUGCAACUGCUCUUAUCCUUGUCAUAACCUUGGUUAACACAGUUAGCUUUGCACGCAAUGUUGCCACUAGCUCAGUCUGGUGGCGAACAAUAGUCCACAGUUGUACACAGGUCAGUAUCUGUGCACAACUCACAAUAGAGAUACCUCAAUCAACACAUAUAACCUACCAGGAAAAUAUAUAUUUGUGUAUCCAAAUACGAGUGAAGAGAUUAUGAAAGAAGGAAGAAAACCAUACCUAUGUAACGCCCUGCUGCAUGACAUGAGAAGACAAUGGUGGCCAUGGCUACAAGAGCUACCAAGCAUAGGGCCUGUGUGUAGUUCUGCAUACUGGCCAUGGGAGAUAGUUAGCUAUUCCUUUUCUGCUAAUGUUGUUCAUUGAUUUUGCUGAACUCAUGUUCUUUUCCUAGGUGCUUGAUUUAUAUUGAGCGAAAGCUAGCAGGCUUGGAGCUUGACACGGAAGAAAAACUUGGAGUAAAUUUAUUUCUUUCCUCCUAUAGCUUUGUGGUAAAUAAAUUCCUCUUUGUACAAAGGCUUGCUAUAAUCUCCAUAAUAAAUUCUUGCCAUUUAAUCAUAUUAUGUAUUAAUGCAUCGUUAUCUGCAUUGUGUUAAUGCUUCCUUAUCCUCAUUAAUAUAUGCUUGGUAGAUGAGCCUAUUAUACAUGUGGUUUACUUUAUCCCAUGGUAGUUCUGAUAUACAGUGCCCUCACCCACACUCAUUGAUACAGAAAAAGUAGAGUUGUCCUCAUGAGUAGGGAUGAAAACAAAGCAAAAUGCACAAAACUUAGUCCUGCCACAUUAUUUUUGUAUUUCUAAAUGCAUAAAUGAAUAACAAAACCAAGCAAACGAAUAUACAAACAUAUCAUAUUGGAAAUAGAUACAUACCCAAUAUGCUAUCUACACAAAUAAAAAAGCUAUGGAUGGGUGCUUGACAUGGUGCCAUCACGACAACAAUCUGAUGUCCCUAACACUUGGUUGUGCUAAUACGCCUACUCGUUUACUUGAUUUGGUAGUAGAACAAAUUAGGUUGAGUUCAUUCAUCACACGGGGUGCAAAAUAAGUGAAUCUUCACUCGAGAUAAUGUUACAUAAUUUCAUAAAUAAAUUAUAUUCGAAAUACAAAUUGUUACAUUCCUAUUGAUUCACCGCGUAAAAUGUGGCAUAAGAAAAAAAUAUAGGUCAUAAGACCAGAAACAUUGCAUUCUAUGUACAUUUUACACUAAGUUUUUGCAUUUAUAUCUUACGUAACAUAACAUAUUUUUACGGCGAUUAUAUAUUUUCAUACGUUCUUUUUUUACAUCUGAAAUAAGACAAAAUUUACGGAACAUAAAAGUACGGUGCAUUAAUAAAAUAGAGAGGGGUGAACAAUAACUAUUCCUCACCAAGGGUGACGAAUAUAUAAUUUUACGUUCUGACCACCACGUGCACCAACAAAUUAAACUAAAUUGUCACGCGUGCCUACACCCACCGUAGAAGCAAACACUUUAUUUGAUAGUCAAACAAUUACCAUGUAGUAAAUCUAAGCAACCCGGUCAUACAACAAUUAUUGUGUAGUAAAGUUUAAGAAAUAUUUCCUUCUAGUCGAUGUUAUUUCCAUAAAGUUCUAAACCUCCUCCGGAGGCAAAAAGAACUACACUGCAAUAUUAGGAAAAAAAAUUACAUGCCCUAUUUUGGGUACUGCUUGCGAUGUUAAACCAUUCGUUGGAAGGAGGCAUGUAAUAUACAAUUGGAAAGCUAUGGAUUAGGCGCAACUAUGCCACAUUGAACACUUUUCUAUAUUCAUCACGGUUUAAAAGCAGUGUAAAAAAUGGUGCGGCACCCGAUGAGUGGUAGCGAGCGUAUUUUCGUGUUUUUUUCGAACGGCUUGUCGGAAUUAUGCAAAUCAUAUGUUGUUGGAAAUAUAUCAUCGAGGCGCAACUUUUUAAUAUAUAAUACUCUCUCUAAUUCUUUACGGUCUAAGAGCAGUUUCAAAUUUACCAAAACACGAAAACUCUAUUUUUCAAAUUUUAUGAUUUUUCGUUCCGGUUUUCGCUGCAAUUUUUUAACCGCGUGAGUUUUGAUUGUCCUUUUCAUACUUAUCUUUUUAAGAGCGUGGACCUGCCGAGUGGACAGCAUGGACUGAGCGAGCGAAUCAAACUGCAUCGAGAAGUGAACCAAAUUUUUUGUUGUUGUUUUCGUAAUAUUUUCGCAUUUCACAUUGGAAACAAGUGAACAAGAUCACUCUUGAAAGUGUACCACGGGGCCUAAACUAGUAAACUACAUCCAAAAAGAAGUGAACUUCUUACGAUGUUUUUCUUUUUUCCCGUUUUACAAAGUGAACUACAGAAGAUGUUUACACUGAACCGCAUCCCAAGUAAUCUUUUUUUUGUCAAUACGGACUACAUCCCACCAAGUUUGGAUUAUUUUUCUACUUCAUACGACAACCGAAUUUUGAGCAAUGAGCAAUGAACCAUGGUGGUUUCCCACAUUCUUUUGUCUUGUUUUAUAGGAGCAAACCACAUAGUUGUGGCAAACGAACUACACAUGUGUUUUCUAUUAGUUGGCAUGGAAUCUAAAUGAACCGCAUCAGUUCUUUUUGUCUUUUUAAAAUAAAAAAAUUACAAAUAUAUAUGGACUUCGUGCUCAAACUUAGGAACUGCAAUUGUUUUUCAUGAUUAUGUACUAUAUGGAUCAUUUCUAUUUUUUCACUUUUAGUAUUUUAUAUAGAGGGGAAGAAAAUGAACUACAAUACUUCUUUUUUUCUCACGGGUGUGUACUGUAAAAAUGGACCUAAAAAAAAUAAUCAAGAUUACAAUCUGGUCCUUUUGGACACGCCUUGGAUGUGACUACUCGUCACCAUCCUCAGCUGCCAUCGUGGCUGAACACCAUGCCCCAACUAGACGUCUUAGCGCCGGUAAGUGCAUCAUGUCAUGUCGGGAUUCGAACUACAAUGGUGUUGAACAUAGAGCUCACUAGAAACCAAGCCGUUGUUUGUCGUUGUCUCUCAGUGUGCCCAUCAACUGCAUAGAGACGCACACUGAACCACAUCUCAAACCCCUACUCCACCAGCAUGUACAAACCGCAUGCCACAUGAAUGUUAUCUUCACGCAAAUGGAGUUGCAAUCAAAAUAAGAAGCACAUUGUACUAAACAUUGCCCAAAUUAAAAUAGCGAACUACAAAAAAAUAUAUUUUUGGAAAAGGUGACGCACGUACUAACUUGGGUUUCCCUUCACACUGCAUGUCUGGGAUGCCUUGACUGCAAGGGGAGGAGGGCAGCUCAUCAAGUCGUACUGCAUGGGCGUGCGGUGAUGAUCAGCGAACUGCACGUGGCGCGUUGCUGAGCUGCACCAGAAAAAAGGGGAUGGAGGUCAGCAGGAUGGGCGCUCGUCAAUCCAAGCCGAACAACACGGGAGGAGUAACCGAAUCACCUGCAAAUCCAACAUGAACCUCAACGAAGUGGAGGUGGAGUUCCUGGUGUGGUUUUGCCACGGCAAAUGUCCUUGUGAGAAGACUAAGUUGUGAAGACAUCGCCGCUAGAAGGAAACUUGGAUGGGGUUGAUCGCAACAUGAUAAGACUCGAUUUUACCGAGGUUCGACCCCUCAUGGUGGAGGUGAAGGCCUACAUCCUGCUUGAUUGCUAUUGAUUGUCAUGGUCUCGAUUACAAGGGCGCUAUUUUGCUACCUCUGUCUUGAGAGCUAUCAAAACAUGCAUCUGUCUCGAGACCUAUGAAAACAUCUCUCUCGAUACUUGUCUAUCUAGAAACUCGUGCUUCUCAUGACCCUGGGACUCACUUUAUAUCAUAUUUGAGUCCAUGAGGUUACAAGAGAUUCCCGGUUAUACCCACGGUCGAAGUCCUACGCUAAAUCCCCUAAAUCCUCCAUGUCUUCCAGGUCUUUUCCAUCUUGUAUUUGGACUCUUGGUGGAAUUUCAUCUAAGUCCAGGUCAUGUAGCAGGCCGGGUCAAGAUUGUAGCCAGGUCAAGAUUGUGGUCGGGUCAAGAUUGUAGUUGGGUCAUGAUUGUAACUAGCUGACUUAACUCCAGAAAUGACUUAACUCUAGAGAUGAAUUAUCCUCAGAUCCUGGCCUAGCCAUGGGUAACUCCCCCGACAGGUCCUCUCGCUCCCGCCUGCAUAGGGGUGCUGGAGGCAUGUUGGUCGUUGACGCAUUUUUGGAGGCAGCCUAGGAUCUGCGAUAGCUUGCACACGCGUCAGUAUCCACCAGAGAAGGGGGAACUGGAAAAGGUUGCUUGAGAAGGGACGUGAUAUUGGGCCGACGGUGGGAGGCCGAUACGUCUCCGGUGUAUCUAUAAUUUUUUAUUGUUCCAUGCUAUUAUAUUAUAUGUUUUGGAUGUUUUAUAUGCAUUAAUAUGCUAUUUUAUAUUAUAUUUGGGACUAACUUAUUAACCCAGAGCUCAGUGCCAGUUUCUAUUUUUUCCUUGUUUUUGAGUUUCACAGAAAAGGAAUAUCAAACAGAGUCCAAACGGAGUAAAACUUUACGAUGAUUUUUCUUGGAUCAGAAGACGCACGUAGGACUUGGAGACCAAGGCAGAAGAGUCCUGAGGCGGCGGCAAGGGUGCAGGGCGCGCCCCAGGGCGGCGCCCCCUGCCUUGUGGGUCCCUCGAAGCUCCUCUAACCCUAAUCUUCGGCCUAUAAAUUUAGAAAUAUUCCAAACCAUCAGAGGCAUCCACAAAAAAACUUUUCCACUGCCACAAGCCUCUAUCCUCGUGAGACACAUCUUGGGGCCUUUUUUGGCAAUCUGCCGGAGGGGGAUUUGAUCACAGAGGGUAUCUACAUCAACCUUAUUGCCCUUCCGAUGAUGCGUGAGUAGUUUACCUUAGACCUACGGGUGUAGAGCUAGUAGCUAGAUGGCUUCUUCUCUCUCUAUGGUCUUCAAUACCAAGUUCUCCUCGAUGUUCUUGGAGUUCUAUCUGAUGUAAUAUUCUUUUCCGGUGUGUUUGUCGACAUCCAAUGAAUUAUGAAUUUAUGAUCAGAAUAUCUAUGAAUAUUAUUUGAAUCUUCUCAUAAUUCUUAUAUGCUUGAUUUGGUAUCUUUGUAUUUCUCUUCAAAUUAACGGUUUGGUUUGGCCAACUAGAUUGGUAUUUCUUGCAAUGGGAGAGGUGCUUAGUUUUGGGUUCAAUCUUGCAGUGUCCUCACCCAGUGACAUAGUAGGGGUAGCGAGGCAUGUAUUGUAUUGUUGCCGUCAACGAUAAAAAUAGGGUUUUCAUAAUAUUGCUUGAGUUUAUUCCUCUACAUCAUGUCAUCUUACUUAAGGCAUUACUCCGUUCGUUAUGAACUUAAUACUCUGGAUGCAUGUUGGAUAGCGGUCGAUGUGUGGAGUAAUAGUAGUAGAUGCAGGCAGGAGUUGGUCUACUUGACACGGACGUGAUGCCUAUAUGCAUAAUCGCCUUGGAUAUUGUCAUAACUUUGCGCUUUUCUAUCAAUUGCUCGAUAGUAAUUUGUUCACCCACGUUAUGUUUUCUUUCAAGAGAGAAGCCUCUAGUGAAAACUAUGGCCCCCGGGGUCUAUUUUCCAUCAUAUAUUUUCGGAUCUAUAAACCAAAAAACCCAAAAAUACCUUGCUGCAGUUUUUUUACAUUUUAGUAAUCUUUUAUAUCUAUCUCUAUCAGAUCUCACCAUUGCAAUUGAUCAUGAAGGGAUUGACAACCCCUUUAUCACGUUGGGUGCAAGUGUUUGAAUUUUUGUGGAGGUGCAUAGAUUGGAGACUUGCUUGUACCUCCUACUGGAUUGAUACCUUGGUUCUCUAACUGAAGGAAAUACUUUUCUCUACUUUGCUGCCUCACCCUUUCCUCUUCAAGGGAAAAACCAACGCAAGCUCAAGAAGUAGCAUGAAGAAUUUCUGGCGCCGUUGCUAGGGAGGUUCGACAUCAAGCCUACCAAGUACCCAUCAUAAACUCUCAUCUCUUGCAUUACAUUAUUUGCCAUUUGCCUCUCGUUUUCCUCCCCCACUUCUAAAACAAUUUUUAGAAAACACAAAAAUAUUUGCCUUUUUUAUUCUCCCUUCUUUUGCUCGUCUUUUCGUUUACUUUUUGUUUGCUAGAAUUCCUGUACGGCUCAACCCAAAAGCUUUGAUCCUUAUUUUAGGAAGUUGGAAGAGAUUGAAAUUAUGCUAAAAGUUUCAUGACUUUACAAUAUGAGUAUAAUGAUUUCUUUAGAAACGAGCUUAAAGAACAAAAAACUAUGAUGGGGUAUAUUAAUAAAGAUCUUGAUGACAUGUCUAAGGAAUUUUAUGGUUUGAAAUCUCAGUUUUCUCAUUGGAAAUUUAGUAGGCAAAAUUGAUGAUAAGCAUGCUACUUUAGUAAAUAAGAUGGCCGCUAAACCGGAGUCUUUGAAUAAUGAUGAAGAUCUUAAAGUGAUUGAUGUGAGUCCUAUUGAAUCUUUGUUUUCUAAUAUAAAUCUUGAUAAAGAUGGGACUGGAGAUGAGUCAACUUUAGCUAGAAGGCAUCCCAAUGAUUCGUAGUUUAUAGAUCUUGAUGCAAAAAUUGAUAAAACUGGGAUUGGAGUGGUCAAAAGUUUAAGUAGCAAUGAAUCCGCUCUUUUGGAUUUAAAGGACUUCAAUUAUGAUAUUUUUUCUUUGAUAGAUUGUAUUUCCUUGUUGCAAUCCAUGUUGACUUCUCCUCAUGCUCAUAAUCAAAAUAAAGCAUUUACUGAACAUAUUGUUGAUGCCAUGAUGAAAUCUUUUGAAGAAAAACUUGACUUGGAAGUUUCUAUCCCUAGAAAGCUUUAUGAUGAGUGGGAACCUACUGUUAACUUAAAAUUAAAGAUUAUGAGUGCCAUGCUUUGUACGAUUUGGGUGCUCGCAUUUCCACCAUUCCAAAAACUCUAUGUGGUGUGUUAGGUUUCCGUGAAUUUGAUUGUUGUUUUUUAAAUUUGCAUCUGGCGGAUUCCACUAUUAAAAAACCUAUAGGAAGGAUCAAUGAUGUUCUUAUUGUUGCAAAUAGGAAGUAUGUGCCCGUAUAUUUCACUGUUCUUGAUAUAGAUUGAAAUCCUACAUGUCCUAUUAUUCUUGGUAGACCUUUCCUUGGAACAAUUCGUGCAAUUUUUGAUAUGAAAGAAGGAAACAAUAGAUUUCAGUUUCCAUUCGGUAAACACUUUCUAAGAAAGAAAAUUAAGUUGCCAUAUGAGUGUAUAUGAUAGCUACUUAUGGAUUGCAUCCCAAAGAUAACACUACCUAGAUCUUUUGCAAUAUGCCUAGCUAGGGGCGUUAAACAAGAGCGCUUGUUGGGAGGCAACCCAAUUUUAUUUUUGUGUUUUUUGUUUUGCUUCUAUUCUUGAAUAAAAUACACAUUAUUACCUCUAUAGUAAUUGUGUUUUGGUGUUUUUAAUUAGUGUUUGUGCCAAAUGAAGCCUUUGGGAUACUUUGGUAUAUCAUUGAUUUGAUCUUGCUGAAAAACAGAAACUUCUGCGAUCAUUGCCAGCAUUGUUAAAAAUCACAUAAGCGUGAUAAAAUCCUGAAGGUGGGGUGGGCGGUGGGGGGAGAGGGGCCGGAUCUGGUGGCUUCGGUGACAUGGGGCGAUAAGUAGCUGAGAGCAUGUGUGGACUGCGAGAGACAAAGAAGAUGGUGGGGAUUUGGGGUGCGGCUGCAAGGGUCUAUGGGGAGUUGGGCUUGGGGCCGAACGUGCCGGGGGGUGAGUGAGAUCGUGGGAGGAGUGGGCCUGGGGUCUUGUUAGAAUAGACCCACCCUAUAUAUGGCUUGUUCCCUAUAACGACUACAAUCAGGGAUAUUCUAUGGCUUGUUCCAUAGUGGUGUGAGAAUUCCAAUCUUCUUGAUUAAUUUCUCAUUAUUUGACGUGAUAAUAAUGAUUUAUUUUUGUGUGUCAUGGCAUUAAAAUGACUUUAGCGAUGCAAUGGAAAAUAGAUACUAAAUAAACAAUUAUCAUUAGCUUAUUAUUAAUUUAUUUGUACGAACUGAAUCAGGUUUCACACAAACAAUAUAAGCAUUCACCUCCAGGCAAUAUUUCUAGUACAUAUAUAAACUCAUUUCAUGGUACUUCUCAGUUCUUUCGGCAUCAACAUGUGCUACUACUGCCUUCCAUGCAACUGCUCUUAUCCUUGUCAUAACCUCGGUUAACACAGUUAGCUUUGCACGCAAUGUUGCCACUAGCUCGGUCUGGUGGCGAACAAUUGUCCACAGUUGUACACAGGUCAGUAUAUGUGCACAAAUCACAAUAGAGAUACCUCAAUCAACACAUAUAACCCAGCAGGAAAAUAUAUGUUUCUGUAUCCAAAUACGAGUGAAGAGAUUGUGAAAGAAAGAAGAAAACCAUACCUACAUAACGCCCUGCUGCAUGACAUGAGAAGACAGUGGUGGCCAUGGCUACAAGAGCUACCAAGCAUACGGCCUGUGUGUAGUUCCGCAUACCGGCCAUGGGAGAUAGUUAGCUAUUCCCUUUCUGCUAAUGUUGUUCGUUGAUUUUGCCAAAUUCAUGUUCUUUGCCUAGGUGCUUGUGUUUAUAUUGAGGGAAAGCUAGCAGUCUUGGAUCUUAAUACAAAAGAAAAACUUGGAGUAAAUUUAUUUCUUUCCUCCUAUAGUUUUGUAGUAAAUAAAUGCCUCUUUGUACAAAGGCUUGCUAUAAUCUCCACAAUAAAUUCUUGCCAUUUAAUCAUAUUAUGUAUUAAUGCAUCCUUAUCUGCAUUGUGUUAAUGCUGCCUUAUCCUCAUUAAUACAUUCUUGGUAUAUGAGCCUAUUAUACAUGUGGUUUAAUUUAUCCCAUGGUAGUUCUGAUUUACAGUGCCCUCACCCACACUCAUUGAUACAGAAAAAGUAGAGUUGUCCUCGCGAGUAGGGAUGAAAACAAAGCAAAAAUGCAUGAAACUAAGUGUUGCCACAUUCUUCUUUAUUUUUUCUGAAUGCAUAAUUGAAUAUAAAAACCAAGCAAAUGAAUAUAGAAACAUAUCGUAUUGGAAAUAGAUACAUACCAAAUAAGAUAUCUACACAAAUACAAAAGCUAUGGAUGGGUGGUUGACACAGUGCCAUCAGGACAGUAGUCUGGUGUCCCUAACACUUGGUUGCGCUAAUAGGCUACUCGAUUACUUGAUUUAGCAGUAGAACAUAUUAGGUUGAGUUUCUUUCAUAGAUAUUGACAAGGGCCUUCAUGACAAGGCCUAUUGGAGCCGUAAUGUCCACACUACGAUGGAAAGUUUUUUAUUUGGGGAAGGAUAAAUUCAAUUUCCAUAUCCAUUCCAAGAAAAAUUGAUGUUCUAUCCACUUAAAGAUUUAUGUUUUUGUUUCCUUAUUUGUGGAAAACAUAAAUAUUGAACAUUUAAGUGUCGAUUUCAUUCCUACUACUGAGAGUGCGCGUCUAUGACGGGAUAGAAAUAUUUGGUAUUUUUCCGAUCAAUAAAAAACACUUAAUGGAGUGUCACCUCAUCACAAUGAAAGGGGUAAUCGUUAUGAAAAUCUUACAUGAUUAAUAGUUAUGAAAAAUCCAGUUCGUAGGUUCGUCAUGGUCGAGUAACAUGACCUCCAGAGCAGGAUUACCGUACCACUCUGGUGUGGAUCUUACUCUGGUUGACCUACGAGGUUCGGUAGUAACUUAAUCAGAAGUUUCAUGAUCAUCAUCAUUAGCUUCCUCACUUACUGGUGUAGGAAUCAUUGGAACUGAUUUCAGUGAUGAACUAAUUUCCAAUAAAGGAGCAGGUACAAUUACCUCAUCAAGUUCUACUUUCCUCCCACUCACUUCUUUCGAGAGAAAUUGCUUCUCUAGAAAGGAUCCAUUCUUAGCAACGAAUAUCUUGCCUUCGAAUCUAUGAUAGAAGGUGUACCCAACAGUAUCCUUUGGGUUUCCUUUAAAGACACAUUUCUCCGAUUUGGGUUCGAUCUUAUCAGGUUGAAGAUUUUUUCACAUAAGCAUCGCAGCCCCAAACUUUAAGAAACGACAACUUGGGUUUCUUGCCAAACCAUGGUUCAUAAGGUGUCGUCUCAACGAAUUUAGAUAGUGCCCUAUUUAACGUGAAUGCAGUUGUCUCUAAAGCAUAACCCCAAAAUGAUAGUGGUAAAUCAGUAAGAGACAUCGUAGAUCGCGCCAUAUCUAGUAAAGUAUGAUUACAACGUUUGGAUACACCAUUACGAUGUGGUUUUCUGGGUGGCGUGAGUUGUGAAACUAUUCCGCAUUCUUUCAAAUGAAGACCAAACUCGUAACUCAAAUAUUCUCCUCCAUAAUCAGAUCGUAGAAACUUUAUUUUCUUGUUACGAUGAUUUCCACUUCACUCUGAAAUUCUUUGAACUUUUCAAAUGUUUCAGACUUAUGUUUCAUUAAGUAUGAUUUCCAAUAACUCUGUUGCUCGCUCCAUUGUUCCGGAGAACUGAGUUUUAGUCAUCUUACACAUGAGGCAUGGUUCGCAAGUACCAAGUGAUUUAUAAUCAAGUGAUUCCAUAUGUCCAUCAGAAUGGAGUUUCUUCAUGCGCUUUACACCAAUAUGACCCAAACGGCAGUGCCCCAAAUAAGUUGCACUAUCAUUAUCAACUCUGCAUCUUUUGGAUUCAAUACUAUGAUCAUGUGUAUCACUGCUAUCAAGAAUUAGUAAAAAUGGACCACUCAUAAAGGGUGCAUGACCAUAAAAGAAAUUACUCAUAUAAAUAGAACAACCAUUAUUCUUUGAUUUCAAUGAAUAACUGUCUCGCAUCAAACAAGAUCCAGAUAUAAUAUUCAUGCUCAACGCUGGCACCAAAUAACAAUUAUUUAGGUCUAAAACUAAUCCGAAAGGUAGAUGUAGAGGUAGAGUGCUGACGGCGAUCACAUCGACUUUGGAACCAUUUCCCAUGUGCAUCGUCACCUCGUCCUUAGCCAAUCUUCGCUUAAUCCGUAGCCCUUGUUUCGAGUUGCAAAUAUUAGCAACAGAACCAGUAUCAAAUACCCAGGCGCUACUGCGAGCAUUAGUAAGGUACACAUCAAUAACAUGUAUAUCAAAUAUACCUUUCGCUUUGCCAUCCUUCUUUUCUGCCAAAUACUUGGGGCAGUUCCGCUUCCAGUGACCAGUCCCUUUGCAGUAGAAGCACUUAGUUCUAGGCUUAGGUCCUGACUUGGGCUUCUUCACUUGAGUAGCAACUGGCUUGCUGUGCUUCUUGAAGUUCCCCUUCCUCCCUUUACCCUUUUUCUUGAAACUGGUGGUCUUGUUGACCAUCAAACAAUUGCUUGGCUUGUCAUCGAGGUUGUGCAUGAUUUAAAUAUUUUGUGUGAUGAAGAUAGAUCAUAGCUAGACUAUAUGAUUUUGUAGGGACGACUUUCUUUGGCCAUGUUAUUUUGAGAAGACAUGAUUGAUUUGUUUGUAUGCUUGAAGUAUUAUUAUUUUCAUGUCAAUAUUAAACUUUUGUCUUGAAUCUUAUGGAUCUGAAUAUUAAUGCCACAAUAAAGAGAAUUACUUGGAUAAAUAUGUUAGGUAGCAUUCCACAUCAAAAAUUCUGUUUUUACCAUUAACCUAUUCGAGGACGAGAAGGAAUUAAGCUUGGGGAUGCUGAUACGUCUCCAACGUAUCUAUAAUUUUUUUAUUGUUCCAUGCUAUUAUAUUAUCUGUUUUGGAUGUUUAUGUGCUUUAUUAUACACUUUAAUAUUAUUUUUGGGACUAACCUAUUAACCGGAGGCCCAGCCCAAAUUGUUGUUUUCUUGCCUAUUUCUGUGUUUCGAAGAAAAGGAAUAUCAAACAGAGUCCAAACGGAAUGAAACCUUCGGGAGAGUUAUUUUUGGAAUGGAAGCAAUCCAGGAGACUUGGAGUAUACGCCAGGGAAGUUCGAGAUGGCCAUGAGGCAGGGAGGCGCGCCUGCCCCCCUAGGCGUGCCCCCACCCUCGUAGGCCCCUCGUGGCUCCCUUGACCGACUUCUUUGGCCUAUAUAUCAGGAGUUCUGCCGCCAGAAGCCUCUGUAGCCACCGAAAACCAAUCUAGACCCGUUCCAGCACCCUGCCGGAGGGGGGAAUCCCUCUCCGGUGGCCAUCUUCAUCAUCCCGGCGCACUCCAUGACGAGGAGGGAGUAGUUCACCCUCGGGGCUGAUGGUAUGUACCAGUAGCUAUGUGUUUGAUCUCUCUCUCUCUCUCUCUCUCGUGUUCUUGAGGUGGUACAAUCUUGAUGUAUCAUGAGCUUUGCUAUUAUAGUUGGAUCUUAUGAUGUUUCUCCCCCUCUACUCUCUUGUAAUGGUUUGAGUUUUCCCUUUGAAGUUACCUUAUCAGAUUCAGUCUUUAAGGAUUUGAGAACAAUUGAUGUAUGUCUUGCAUGUGCUUAUCCGUAGUGACAAUGGGAUAUCACGUGAUCCACUUGAUGUAUGUUUUGGUGAUCAACUUGCGAGUUUCGUGACCUCGUGAACUUAUGCAUAGGGGUUGGCACACGUUUCUGUCUUGACUCUCCGGUAGAAACUUUGGGGCACUCUUUGAAGUUCUUUGUGUUGGUUGAAUAGAUGAAUCUGAGAUUGUGUGAUGCAUAUCGUAUAAUCAUACCCACGGAUACUUGAGGUCACAUUGGAGUAUCUAGGUGACAUUAGGGUUUUGGUUGAUUUGUGGCUUAAGGUGUUAUUCUAGUACGAACUCUAUGAUAGAUUGAACAGAAAGAAUAGCUUCAUGUUAUUCUACUACGGACUCUUGAAUAGAUCGAUUAGAAAGGAUAACUUUGAGGUGGUUUCGUACCCUACCAUAAUCUCUUCGUUUUUUCUCCGCUGUUAGUGACUUUGUAGUGACUCUUUGUUGCAUGUUGACGGAUAGUUAUAUGAUCCAAUUAUGUUAUUAUUGUUGAGGGAACUUGCACUAGUGAAAGUAUGAACCCUAGGCCUUGUUUCAACUCAUUGCAAUACCGUUUGUGCUAACUUUUAUCAUUAGUUGCCUUGCUGUUUUUAUAUUUUUCAGAUUACAAAAACCUAUAUCUAUCAUCCAUAUUGCACUUGUAUCACCAUAUCUUCACCAAACUAGUGCACCUAUACAAUUUACUAUUGUACUGGGUGUGUUGGGGACGCAAGAGACUCUUUGUUAUUUGGUUGCAGGGUUGUUUGAGAAAGACCAUCUUCAUCUUACGCCUCCCACAUAUUGAUAAACCUUAGGUCAUCCACUUGAGGGAAAUUUGCUACUGUCCUACAAACCUCUGCACUUGGAGGCCCAACAACGUCUACAAGAAGAAGGUUGUGUAGUGGACAUCAGGAGCCCAUAGAGUUUUCCUUUGUUGCACCAACCUGGAGUCUAGGAAAGAGCAUGGACGCUCACAUUGCCAUGGGACGCAUCGGCGAAGUUUACCACAAGGAUCUUAAGGACACCAUAUACUAGAUAUGUGGACACCGAGAUGAGCAAUGGGAGAUGAUCAGCACCAGGAGGGACAGGUCCAUUGCAGCCUACAUCCAGGAGUUAAACCAACAGAUUCGUCGUCGGGAGAACCAGAUGUGCGCCAGCAUGAUGGACCUGAAGAAGGUGAUGACUAGGAACAUGGAGCUAGAAGAGGAACUCAAGUCUACACGCGAUGGAUAUGAAUAUGAAAUUGCAGUACUACUGGAGAAGAAUGAAGAUCUGAAGAAGAGGCUAGGAGUAUUCAUGGGAGACCCUGCGCCAGCAGGUGACGGCCAUCCCGAAGACUACAUCAUCAUCGAUGACACCGACACCGACCCCGACAGUGAUGAUGACUAUGAAGACGAAGCUAGAGCAGAUAUCAUGGAGUCUUCUUACAAUCAAAAUUUUUAGUCGACCACCAUAUUAUCAGUAGUAUUCCCCCAUAGUAGUAGUCUGAGUAUUUUGUAACGGUAGCAAGAUCGACUGUAUGCCCUUGUUUGAAUUGAGUGGUGUGAUAUGAUUGUGUUUGUAUCAUGUGCAUAUGAGUAGUGAUUUUCUCCUCAGACCACACUCAAUUCUAAUCUCUCCUCUCUAAAACCUAUCAGAUGCCUCCGAGAUGUGACCCCGGAUUUGUCUUCCCAUCGGAGCUCACCCAGUUGAUCAAGCAGCAGAAUUCCUUGAUGCAGCUACUAGUCCAGAACCAAGGCAACAACGACAACAAUAACAACCCACCGCCACCACCUGCAGUAGACAACUUAGCCCGUUUUCUGAGGUUGAAUCUGCUGGUGUUUUCAGUAGCAUCGAGCUAAUAGUUGCUAAUGACUGGCUCCGCAGGAUUCGAAUGGAUCUAACCACCACAGGUUGCAUAGAUGCUAGGAAGGUGCGCUUUGCCACACAUCAAUUAGAUGGACCAGCAGCCUCAUGGUGGGAGAAUUACACAACCACUUUUCCCAUAGCCAAUGUCACGUGGGAUUAGUUUCAGCAAUCUUUCCGUACUACGGGCCCAUGUCUCAAAUGGAUCAAUGAGUAUGAAGAAGCGUGAGUUUCGCAACUUACGCCAUGGAAAUCGUACUGUGUUGUAGUACGUGGAUGAGUUUAGUAAGUUAGCUCAUUAUGCCCCGGACGAUGUGGACACAGAUGCCGUGAAGCAGAAGAAGUUUAUGGAAGGGCUGAAUGAUGAGCUGAGCAUGCAGUUGAUGGUGGCAACAUUCAAUAACUAGCAGGAUUUGGUAGAUAGGGCCCUUAUGAUUGAAGGCAAGCAGCAACAGAUAGAGAGCCGCAAAAGGAAGUAUGGACAAGGGAAGUAUAAUUCUAGAGCUCAGCAGAAACCCCGUUUUACCCCGAACUCGGGAGGACACACUCAUAACCAUUGAGGCCAUACCCAUAAUGGAGGGAGUUUGCAUAACCAUUGUGUCCCUAAGAAUGGGAAUGGGAAUGGAGGGAGCAACGGACAGAACCGUUCCAACCCAGCAACACGCACCAGGAAGGAUCUAAGUCACAUUACUUGUUUCAAGUGCGGGAAGACUGGACACUAUGCCACUGAAUGUCCUGAAGCAAAGAUUGGAAAUGGCAAUGGAAGCUCAGGGAAGAAGCCAAACCCUUUCACGAGAGGUCAAGUGAACCACAUCAAUGUGGAGGAGGUUGAAGAACGGCCUGAUGAGGUGAUCGGUAAGUUUUUGAUUAAGUCGUUUACCGGUCUUGUUCUUUUUGACACUGGUGCAUCACAUUCAUACAUAUCAAGGGUAUUUGUGGACAAGUUUAAGUUGCCAACCUUAGCCCUUAGGUCACCCAUGUUAGUAAGCUUUCCAUGAGCAGAGUAUAUGGCCAACCGAUGGUGUGAUCGGCUACCCCUAACUAUUGGUAGCCACGUUUUCCCCUCAGACCUAAUAAUUUUGGAGUCCCAAAGAUUGGAUAUAAUAUUAGGCAUGGAUUGGUUAUCGAAGUAUGGAGGAAACAUCGAUUGUGCUAGUAAGUCAAUUUUACUCACCACCCUGGAGGGAAAGAGGAUCAAGUAGGUGUCUAGGCAUGCGCCAAGGAGGACCCAAGUGAAUUCUCUCUCGGGAGUUGUUCAGGAAGAAGUGCCUAUUGUGAAGGAUUACCUGGAUGUAUUUCCAGAGGAGCUACCAGGCAUGCCGCCAGAUCGAGACAUGGAAUUUUUUGAUAGAGCUCUUGCCAGGCACCGGACCAAUAUCGAAGAGACCGUAUCGGAUGCCCGCAAAUGAUCUGGAGGAAAUUAAGAAGCAGAUUAAGGAGUUAUUGGAUACGGGUUAUAUCUGACCAAGUUCAUCACCGUGGGGAACCCCGGUGCUCUUAGUUGAGAAGAAGGAUGGAUCUUUGAGAAUGGUUGUUGAUUAUCGGGCAUUGAAUGAAGUGACGAUCAAGAACAAAUACUCACUCCCGAUGAUCAAUGAUCUAUUUGACCAGUUGCAAGGAGCUAAAGUAUUCUCCAAGAUUGACCUUCGAUCAGGAUACCACCAGCUAAAGAUCCGAGAAUAGGAUAUACCUAGGCCAACUUUUACCACAAGGUACGGGCUAUAUGAGUACACGGUCAUGUCAUUUGGAUUGACUAAUGCCCCCGCCUAUUUUAUGAGUAUGAUGAACAAUGUAUUCAUGGAGUUUUUGGAUAAGUUUGUUGUGGUGUUCAUUGAUGACAUUUUGGUGUACUCGAAUAAUGAAGAGGAACACAAGGAACACUUGCGCUUAGUUCUCGAGAAGCUCAGGGAACAUCAGCUAUAUGCCAAGUUCAGCAAGUGUGAGUUUUGGUUGAAGGAAGUUGGAUUUCUUGGACAUGUUAUAUCAGGAGAAGGUAUAGCCGUUGAUCCUACGAAGGUUCAGUCUGUCACUGAGUGGUUGGCACCCACCUUAGUUGGAGAGAUCCGCAGGUUUCUGGGACUCGCAGGAUAUUAAAGGAGGUUCAUUGAGAAUUUCUCCAAGAUUGCGAAACCUAUGACAGAGUUGUUGAAGAAGGACACCAAGUUCAAAUGGACUGCGGAUUGUGAGGCAAGUUUUCAGGAGUUAAAGAAACAUUUGGUUAUAGCCCCAGUGCUGAUUCUUCCGGAUAUACGCGAGGAUUUCCAAGUUUAUUGUGACGCUUCUCAUUUGGGACUUGGAGGUGUACUUAUGCAAGACGGAAUAGUUGUUUCAUAUGCCUCACGGCAGCUUUGACAUCACGAGUUGAAUUAUGCCACACAUUAUUUGGAGUUAGAAGCCGUAGUGCAUGCGCUCAAGACGUGGAUACAUUUUCUGAUUGGAAAUAGAUGUGAUUUGUACACGGAUCACAAUAUUUUGAAGUACAUUUUGACGCAGAAGGAGUUGAAUCUCAUGCAGAGGAGAUGGUUGGAGCUCAUAAAGGAUUACGAUAUGAAGUUGCAUUAUCAUCCAGGAAAGGCCAAUGUCUUAGCAGACGCUUUGAGCUGCAAGAGUUAUGCCAAUACGCUCGUAAGCGGAGGAUUACCGCAGGAGUUAGUAGAAGAUCUCAAGGAACUUCGUUUCGAGAUAGUUCCAAGAGGUUUUGUUGCAACAAUGGAGGUUUAGUCUACAUUAUUGGGAAAGAUUCAAGAAGCUCAGAAGGAUGAUAAGGAAAUUGCUGAGACUAAGGAGAAGAUGAGCAAAGGAAAAGCCAAAGAUUUUUGUGAGGAUGAACAUGAGGCUUUAUGGUUUGAAGAUCGUGUAUACGUGCCCAAUAAUGCGGAGAUCAGGAAGUUAAUACUUCAGGAAGCUCAUGACUCGCCAUACUCGAUUCAACCCAGAAACACCAAGAUGUAUUUGGAUUUGAAGGAGCAUUUCUGGUGGACAGGUAUGAAGAAGGAUAUUGCCAAGUAUGUAGCAGUAUGCGAUGUGUGUCAGAGAGUGAAGGCAGAUCAUCAGAAGCCAGCCGGAUUAUUACAGCCCAUGCCGAUACCCGAUUGCAAGUGGGACAAGAUUGGCAUGGAUUUCAUCACCGGAUUACCCAUGACCUGAUCAGGAUAUGAUUCCAUCUGGGUAGUAGUUGAUCGCCUGACCAAGGUAGCUCACUUUAUCCCAUUGAAAUCCACCUAUACAAGCGCGUGGUUGGCCAAGAUAUAUAUGACCAGGAUCGUAUGUCUGCAUGGAGUUCCAAGGACCAUCGUAUCAGAUAGAGGGACACAGUUUACCUCGAAGUUUUGGAAUCAAUUGCACCAGACUUUGGGUACUAGGCUGGAGUUCAGUACAGCCUUUCAUCCGCAGACAGAUGGACAGACCGAGAGAUUCAAUCAGAUUCUAGAGGACAUGUUGAGAGCUUGUGUGCUAGAUUAGAGAUCUGGUUGGGAUGAUAAUUUACCUUACGCAGAGUUCUCAUAUAACAACAGUUAUCAGGCUAAUUUGAUGAUGUCACCUUUUGAAGCCUUGUAUGGAAGGAGAUGCAGGACACCAUUAAUGUGGGAUGAAGUUGGAGACCAUUAGUUGUUUGGACGGGAUUUGAUCAAAGAGUCCGAAUAGAAGGUUAAGUUGAUUCGAGAUAGACUGAAGGUAGUUCAGUCCAGGCAGAAGAGUUAUGCCGACAAUAACACAAGGAUGUAGUCUAUGAAAUAGGAGAUAGAGCAUAUCUUUGUGUGUUGCCACUCCGAGGAGUUAAAAGGUUUGGAGUUAAGGGAAAUUUAGCCCCGAGAUUUGUAGAACCAUACCGAGUUCUGGAACGUAUGGGAGAGGUUGCCCACAAAUUGGAGUUACCCGAAGGAUUGUCAGGAGUUCAUGAUGUGUUUCACGUUUCCCAGUUGAAGAAGUGCCAUGAUGAGAUGAUCGAUAUUCCCCUAAGAGAUACAGUGCCUCUGGAAGCAAUUCUGUUGGAGAGUGAUCUAACCUACGAGGAGAAACCUGUCAAGAUUCUUGAGUUUGCCAGCCGAGUUACCCGCAACAAAGUUAUCAAGUUUUGCAAAGUUCAGUGGAGCCACCAUACCGAGGAUGAAGCCACCUGGGAGCGAGAAGAAGACCUACGGAAAGACCACCCACACCUAUUUUCUAGCCAACCCGAAUCUCGAGGGAAAGAUUCAUCUUAAGGAGGGUAGGUUUGUAACAUCCCAAUUUUCAAUUUGGAUGUUAUACAUAGGUCAUCAUAUGCAUAUCAUAUUUUAUUUGCAUAUUUGGUUGUGAUCCUAGAAAUCUUAAGCAACUCAAGGACUCAAGGAGAGAGUUGGAGAUUUCAUACAUUUUCAUAUUUGAGUUUUUCUCAAAUUUGAAAAGAGGAUCCAUUUGGUUUUAAUAUUUUUCUCUCUAAUUAUUUCCAAUAUUUAAAUUAAAAGAGAGAAGAUAAUAAGACUUCUUCAAAAAGAGAGGAAUAUUGGAGGAGAAAUUUUAAAAUCAAAUUUAUAUUUUAUUUCGUUUUUAUUUGAUAUUUUAUUUGAAUUAGAAAAGUAUGCAUUUUGGGAAAUAGCAUUUUUAGCACAGAAAAAUGUUGACUUCGUUCUAAAUAAUAGGUUUAGACGGAGAAAAUUGUUUUUGGCAUUUUUUAGAAUUUUUUUAUAUUUUUUAGGAUUUUAUUCAGGCGGAAUUUUAUUUAAUAAAAAAUCCUUCCCUCGCCCAACUGGGCCGAAGGCCUAGCCGAGCGACCCAGCAGCCCACCUCGCGGCCGGCUUCCUCUUGCGCGGGGAGGAGACCCGCCGCCGCAUGCCGCCGAGGGGAGUCCGAGCCGGACUCCACCCCGCGCCGCCCCCUCGCCCAAGGCUGACCCCCUGGCCUUUAUAACCACCGCCACCGCCUCCUCCCUCACCCCGAGCCGACGCACGGCCACCGCCGAGCCGCGCCGUUGCCUCUUUUGCGCCUUCGAGCCGUGGCGCUGCCGGCAGCUGCCGCCGCGCCGCCUCACCUGCGCCGCCGCCUUUCCUCGUCUUUGAUGGAGCUCUUGUAUUCAAGCCCUCGAGGCCCCUGGCUUAUAAUAUGAUGCUUGUAUGACUUAUUUUAUUUGUAGAGUUGUGUUGUGAUAUCUUCCCGUGAGUCCCUGAUCUUGAUCAUACACAUUUGCGUGUAUGAUUAGUGUACGGUCAAAUCGGGGGCGUCACAAUAUGCCUCCAAGACGUGACCCCGGAUUUUUCUUCCCACCAGAGCUCACCCAGUUGAUCCAGCAGCAGAAUGCCUCGAUGCAGCUACUAGUCCAGUACCAAAGCGACACCAACAACAACAGUAACAACCCACCGCCACCACCUCCAGUAGACAAAUUAGCCUGCUUUCUGAGGUUGAAUCCGCCGGUGUUUUCCAGUUGCACCAAGCCAAUAGUUGCUGCUGACUGGCUCCGCAGGAUUCGAAGGGAUCUGACCACCGCAGGUUGCACAUAUGCUAAGAAGGUGCGCUUUGCCACACACCAAUUGGAUGGACCAGCAGCCUCAUGGUGGGAUAAUUACACAACCACUUUUCCCAUAGCCAAUGUCACAUGGGAUCAGUUUCAGCAAGCUUUCCGUACCGCCCAUGUCUCAACUGGAGCAAUGAGUAUGAAGAAGCGUGAGUUUCGCAACUUACACCGGGGAAAUCAUACUAUGGGGCAGUACGUGGAUGAGUUUAGUAAGUUAGCUCGUUAUGCCCCGGACGAUGUGGCCACAGAUGCCGCGAAGCAGGAGAAGUUUAUGGAAGGGCUGAUUGAUGAGCUGAGCAUGCAGUUGAUGGUGGCAACAUUCAAUAACUACCAAGAUUUGGUAGAUAGGGCCCUUAUGAUUGAAGGUAAGCAACAACAGAUAGAGAGUCACAAAAGGAAGCAUGGGCAAGGGAAGUAUAAUUCUAGAGCUCACCAGAAGCCCCGUUUUACCCCGAACUUGGGAGGACACACUCAUAACCAUGGAGGCCAUACCCAUAAUGGAGGUAGUUCGCAUAACCACAGUUGCCCUAAGAAUGGGAAUGGGAAUGGAGGAAGCAACGGACAUAACCGUUCCAACCCAGCAACUCCCGCCAGGAAGGAUCUAAGUCACAUUACUUGUUUCAAGUACGGGAAGACUGGACACUACGCCCUGAAGCAAAGAAUGGAAAUGGCAAUGGAAGCUCAGGGAAGAAGCCAAACCCUUUCACCAGAGGUCAAGUGAACCACAUCAACGUGGAGGAGGUUUAAGAACAGCCUGAUGAAGUGACCGGUAAGUUUUUGAUUAAGUCAUUUAUCGCUCUCGUUCUUUUUGAUACUGGUGCAUCGCAUUCAUACAUAUCAAGGGGAUUUGUGGACAAGUUUAAGUUGCCAACCUUAGCCCUUACGUCACCCAUGUUAGUAAUCUCGCCAUGAGCAGAGUAUAUGGCCAGCCGAUGGUGAGAUCGGUUACCCCUAACCAUUGGUAGCCACAUUUUCCCCUUAGACCUAAUAAUAUUUGAGUCCCAAGGACUGGAUAUAAUAUUAGGCAUGGAUUGGUUAUCGAAGUAUGGAGGAAACAUCGAUUGUGCUAGUAAGUCAAUUUUAUUCACCACCCCGGAGGGAAAGAGGAUCAAGUAUAUGUCUAGGCAUGCGCCAAGGAGGACCCAAGUGAAUUCUCUCUCGGGAGUUGUUCAGGAAAAAGUGCCUAUUGUUAAUGAUUACCCGGAUGUAUUUCCAAAGGAGCUACAAGGCAUCUCGCCAGAUCGAGACAUGGAAUUUUUGAUAGAGUUGUUGCCAGGCACCGGACCAAUAUUUCCAAGGACUGGAUAGAGUUGUUGCCCGCAAAUGAUCUAGAGGAAAUUAGGAAGAAUAUUAAGGAGUUAUUGGAGAAGGGUUAUAUCCGCCCAAGUUCAUCACCGUGGGGAGCCCCGGUGAUCUUAGUUAAGAAGAAGGGUGGAUCUUUGAGAAUGGUUGUUGAUUAUCGGGCAUUGAAUGAAGUGACGAUCAAGAAGAAAUACCCACUUCCGAUGAUCAAUGAUCUAUUUGACCAGUUCCAAGGAGCUAAAGUAUUCUCCAAGAUCGAUCUUCGAUCAGGAUACCAUCAGCUGAAGAUCCGAGAACAUGAUAUACCUAAGACAGCUUUUACCACAAGGUACGGGCUAUAUGAGUACACAGUCAUCUCAUUUGGACUGACUAAUGCCCCUCCCUAUUUUAUGAGUAUGAUGAACAAGGUGUUCAUGGAGUUUUUGGAUAAGUUUGUUGUGGUGUUCAUUGAUGAUAUUUUGGUGUACUCGAAUAAUGAAGAGGAACAGAAGGAACACUUGCGCUUAGUUCUCGAGAAGCUUAGAGAACAUCAGCUAUAUGCCAAGUUCAACAAGUGUGAGUUUUGGUUGAAGGAAGUUGGAUUUCUUGGACAUGUUAUAUCAGGAGAAGGUAUAGCCAUUGAUCCUACAAAGGUUCAGUCUGUCACUGAGUGGUUGGCACCCACCUCAGUUGGAGAGAUCCAUAGUUUUCUGGGACUUGCAGGAUAUUACAGGAGGUUCAUUGAGAAACCUAUGACAGAGUUGUCGAAGAAGGACACCAAGUUUAAAUGGACCGAAGAUUGUGAGGCCAGUUUUCAGGAGUUGAAUAAACGUUAGGUUACAGCCCUAGUGCUGAUUCUUCCGGAUAUAUGCAAGAAUUUCCAAGUUUAUUGCAACACUUCUCGUUUGGGACUUGGAGGUGUACUUAUGCAAGACGGAAGAGUUGUUUCAUAUGCCUCAUGGCAGCUUCGACCUCACGAGUUGAAUUAUGCCACACAUGAUUUGGAGUUAGCAGCCGUAGUGCAUGCGCUCAAGACCUGGAGACAUUUUCUGAUUGGAAAUAUAUGUGAUGUGUACACGGAUCACAAGAUUUUGAAGUACAUUUUCAUGCAGAAGGAGUUGAAUCUCAAGCAGAGGAGAUGGUUGGAGCUCAUAAAGGAUUAUGAUAUGAAGUUGCAUUAUCAUCCAGGAAAGGCCAAUGUCGCUGCCGACGCUUUGAGCCGCAAUUUUAAGCGCAGGAUUACCGCAGGAGUUAGUAGAUGAUCUGAAGGAACUUCGUUUGAAGAUAGUUCCAUGUAACAUCCCAAAUUUUCAAUUUGGAAUGUUAUACAUUAGAUCAUCAUGCAUAUCAUAUUUUCAUGCAUUUUGGUUGAUCCUAGAAAUUUCACGCAACUCAAGGACCUUCGGAGAGAGUUGGAGAUUUCGUUAUUUUCAUAUUUGAGAGUUUUCUCAAAUUUGAAAAGAAGAUCAUUUGAUUUAUUUAUUUCAUCUUCAAUUAUUUUUCCAAUAUCAAAAAAAUGAGAGAGGGAAUAAUAUGACUUUCCCAAAGUUAGGAGAAAUGAAGAUUUAAUGAAUAAGUCAAAUUUUGGAUUUUCCGGUGUUUAUUCGCAUUUUAUUUGGAUAGGGAAAAAUGUGUGUUUUCAAAAAUUGCAUUCUAGGUCCGGAGUAAAGUUCUUUUUGUUCGACUCAUUUUUAGGAGUCGGGGAAAAUUUACUUUAGAGAUUUUGGAGUUCGUUUAGAUUUUCUUUCUUUUGUUUUUCUGCACGCGAAUCCAGUUAAAAAAAGAAAGGACCAAGGCCAGCCGGGCCAAAGGCCCAGCCAGCCGGCCGCCUCCCCAGCCAGCGCGCGCGCCAGGCGCAGCGCCAAGCCGCCGCCUCCCUCGCUCUAGGCCGAGUCCCAGAGGGACUCUAGGCCGGUUAGCCCCCCCUUUCCUUGUUUUGUUUUCCCUCUUUUGCUUGCCCCCUACCCCAAGUAAUCCCCUCCCCACCUAUAUAAAUACACCCCAAACCCCCCCUCUCCUCACAUCAAUCCCAAGCCCCUCUCCUCCUUAGCCGCGCCCCACCCCACGCCCCUCACCCGCCGCCGCCGCCCUAUAGCCGCCGCCGCCGCCCUAUAGCCGCCGCCGCCGCCCUAUAGCCGCCGUCGCCGCCGUUCGCCGGAGCCUCGCCGAGGUUGUCCCGCGCCGCGUCUCUUUUUCUCCCCUCGGUUCAGUUCUUCUUCUAAACCGUUCCGGUUCUUUCUUAACCAUUCCGGUUUUCUUUCGUUCUUUGUUUCGGUUUUCUUUUCCGAAAACCCUAGAUCGGUUUUCGUUCUUCUUUCAGACCGUUCGUCUCAACGAACGUGAUCACUGAUUAUUCCCCGGUUAACGACGCCCGUUCGUUUAAUCGUUCUUCUUUUUCUUUUCGUCGGAUUUAUUCCGCGAUCGCGAUCUCAGAUCCGAUCUUCGUUCUAGUCUUUCUUCUCGCUCAUUUAUCGGAAUCAGGUGAUUCAAGCGCCUGGAGUUUCAUUUCGAAACCGCCGUUCCGUCUAAUCAACUUAAACAAGUUUUUGCCCCGGUAAAAUUUGACCUAGUUUCAACUUGCUAGAACCGAGUUGUUUUCUUCCGCCGCUUGUUUUCCAUUUCUUUGUUCGGUUCGUUCUUUCUUUGCAACCGGAGUUCUUAAGUUGAACCUUCUGGUUCGUUCUCUUGUUCGAGUUUUACCUGUGCAUUAGAUGAGUACUUAUUGUGCGCUUGUUAUUUGUCUGCGAUAGAUCACCCAGAUUGCGCCGCCUGGUACUUCGAUUCCCUAAGUCUCGCGGAUCAUCAGCAAGGCAAGUAACACUUUGAUCAUACCUUUUCUACAACCCAGUUUUAUUGCAUUAGAUCAAUCCUCUCACAUUGCAUGAUUAGGAUCUAAUUAAACUGUGGGAUGGGAAGUAGAUGAGGUAGUACCUAUCACCUGUAUUAUUAUGAAACCUUUGGGAGUUACUUCUACGUUGCUUAUUAUGCCAUGCUAUGCUAGUAGACGUGGAUUGGGUGAGUGAUAUCCAUGACAGAUGUGAGUUGAUAAUUUUAAUGGUUUAUCUAAGGUGGCAACUUAAACACACAUCUAGGUGGAUUGAGGCACCUGAUGUCUAUCAGGACUUGCCUGUAUUUUUUGGACCGCCACCCAGGCUCAAAUGGAUCAUAAGAUAAUUCAUGCUAGAAACUUCCGUGUGCAGCCACAUGCUACUAUGGGCUCUGGCAUAGUUGACUAAGUUGUGCGAACUCUUACGGGGUGGACUAGCAGAUGUAGGGGUUGUAGGUGGUACGGUCUACCCCACAUGUAAGGUGCUAGCGCUUCUGAAAGACUAUGUCUCGGUCAUCCGUUUCUCAAACACCAUGUAGUGCAUGAAAACAAACGGAGGCGAUCGAGUCAUGUGGGGAAAAGUGCGCAAACCUCUGCAGAGUGUACAAACAAAUCAUGAUUAGCCGUGUCCCCGGUUAUGGACAACUUGAGUAUCUAGUACUUGAAUAUCAUGUGAAUCUCAUCAUGUUACUUAUAAUUAAUGUUGUUGGGUUUUAAUUGUUCACUUAAUUGGGAUCGGAAUGCUGUCAGCCAUUCUCGAUGUUUAACAACUACCAUGAUAGUUAAAUAAAUUUAUUCCUUUGCAGUAGGGAAAAACUGGCUUUACGCAAAACUGUAACCAUAGAGCUUUCCACCAACCAUAUAUGCAUGUAGUAUAGCUGUUUCUUUCCAUUACUCUCUAUGUGUUACAUUGCCAGCAUAUUCCAUGUGCUAACCCGUUUUCGGGCUACAACUUUCAUGUUGCAGACUUUUCAGACGACGAGUAAGGUGCUUUUAGGUCAUGGUUCUAUACUCAGUGAUGUCGUUGGAGUUGAUGGACCCAUUUAUCUUCCGAGUCUUCCGCUGUUAUCGACAUUAGAUGGCCUUAAGCCAUACUUAUUGUAAUAAGUUCUCUUUGAGACAACAAUGUAAUAAGUGUGUGAUUGCCACUCUGCUAUAAAUCCUUCGAUGUACUGUGUGGUGUCAGCAUUACUGAUCCAGGGAUGACACCUGAGCACAGAGCACUUGAUCCAUUCGGGUCGGGUCGCUACAGAGAUGGUAUCAAAGCACACGCUGACUGUAGGACACGACCACUAAGUUAAAGCCAUAGAUCACCAUUCUCUUCUCAUUUUCUAACUCGUCAUCUUUUCUACUCUUUUAGGAUGACGAACGCGAAGAUUAAGUACGCUCAACCGGAUGAAGGCACACCUUUUGGAUUUCACCUCAAGGAAGUCACCAAGUACCUGAAUAUCGGAUUACCAAGCUUCACGGGAACCUUCAAUGCCACUCUGCCUGAAGAGGAGCGCUGGAAGAUUCAAGCUCACAUUCCGGGAAGAACAUUCGCGCCAAUCACGAAGCCUAUAGAUAGUGUUUUCAAUGCACCAACCUGGAGUCUGGGAAAGAGCAUGGCAGCUCAUAGCACCAUAGGACGCAUUGGAGAAGUUUAUCAAGAAGACCUCAAGGACACUAUCUACCAGAUUUGCGGACGCCGAGAUGAACAAUGGGAGUUAGUCAGCACCAAGAAGGAUAGAUCCAUUGCAUCUUUCAUCCAGGAGUUAAACCAGCACAUUCGACGCCACGAGAAUCAGAUGUGCAAUGAUAUGAUAGAGUUGAAGAAUGCAAAGGCAAGGAUCAUCGAGCUAGAAGGAGAACUUAAGUCUACACGCAAGGACUACAUGGACGAGAUCGUAGCUCUAGCAAGACACAGUGGCGAUCUUAAGCAGGAGAUUGAAGAACUCAAGAGGAAGUUAGCAUCAAAGGAGGUGGACGAGUACGUCGCAUGUCCGGACAACUACAUCAUCAUCGACGACACCGAUUCGGAUCCAAGUGAACCCGACUUUGAAGACGAAGCUGGAGCAGAUAUCAUGGAGUCUUCCACCGGUUCAAAUUUCUAGAUGACCACCAAAUAGUAGUAGUAUUCCCCCAUGUAAACAUUAUAGUUCGAGCACUUUUGCGAUAGUUUUAGACCGACUAUAAGCCCUUGUUUGAUUGAAUGAAGUGAUUUUGUGUGCAUUUGCUCAUGUGCAUUGGGGUAGUGUUUUCCCUUUAGACCCCACUCUAUUCUUAAUUCUCGUCUUUUCUAAACCCUCAGAUGCCUCCGAGAUGUGACAAUGGAUUCCCACCGGAGCUCACUCAGUUGAUCCAGCAGCAGAAUCAAUUGAUGCAGAUGUUAGUCCAGAACCAGCCGAACAACAACGACAACCCACCACCACCACCACCACUUGUAGACCACUUAGCCCGUUUCCUUAGGCUGAAUCCGCCGGUGUUUUCCAGUAGCACCGAGCCAAUAGUAGCAGACGAUUGGCUCCGCAAGAUAGGAAGGGAGUUGACCACUUCAGGAUGCACGGAUGGUGAGAAAGUGAAGUUUGCCGCUCACCAGCUUGACGGACCCGCGGCAGCAUGGUGGGAGAAUUUCACAGCCACUUACCCAGUUGACACUGUCACAUGGGAUCAGUUUCAGCAAGCUUUCCGCACUGCCCAUGUUUCAGCAGGAGCUAUGGCCCUGAAGAAGCGUGAGUUUCGCAACUUACGCCAAGGAGGAAGGACAGUUGGCCAGUACAUUGACGAUUUCAGCAAGUUAGCACGUUACGCCCCAGAUGACGUUGCUAUGGAUGCAGCUAAGAAGGAGAAGUUUCUGGAAGGACUGAAUGAUGAACUAAGCAUGAAGUUGAUGGUAGCGAGUUUCAACAAGUACCAGGAGUUGGUAGAUCGUGCCAUCAUGAUUGAAGGGAAGCAACAGCAUAUUGAGAACCGUAAGAGGAAGUAUGGACAGGGGAAGUAUAACCCUGGAGCCCAGCAGAAGCCCCGUUUUACCCCUAAACCGGGAUUUCAGUUUCAGCAUACCCAUGGAGGAGGUAGCUCACACAACCAUAAUGGCCACAAGAAUGGUAAUGGGAAUGGAGGAAGCAACGGCCAGAACCGGACCACCCCAUUGACCCCAACCAAGAGAGACCUGAGUCAAGUCACCUGUUUCAAGUGUUCCAAGACCGGACAUUAUGCCAAUGAAUGUCCCGAAGGCCAGAAUGGAAAUGGCAAUGGAAGCUCUGGGAAGAAGCCGAACCCUUUCAAUAGGGGACAGGUGAACCACAUUAGUGUGGAGGAGGUUGAAGAUCAGCCUGAUGCAGUAAUCGGUAAGUUUCUGGUUAAGUCAUUUACCGCACUCGUACUAUUUGACACUGGUGCAUCGCAUUCAUACAUAUCAAGGGGAUUUGUGGAUAAAUAUAACCUGCCAACCCAAGCCCUUAGGUCACCCAUGUUAGUAAGCUCACCAGGAGCGGAGUUUAUGGCUAGACUAUGGUGUGAUCGGUUACCAUUAAGGAUUGGUAACUAUGUGUUUCCCUCAGACCUAAUAGUAUUGGAAUCUCAAGGAUUGGAUGUGAUAUUAGGCAUGGAUUGGUUAUCAAAGUAUGAAGGGAAUAUUGAGUGUGCUAAUAAGUCAAUUUUGCUUACCACACCAGAAGGAAGAAGGAUCAAGUAUGUAUCCCGGUAUGUGCCAAAUAGGACACAAGUAAACUGCCUAACAGGAGUUGUGCAACAGGAAGUACCAGUGGUAAAGGAUUUUCCUGAUGUAUUUCCUGAGGAAUUACCAGGCAUGCCACCGAAUAGAGACAUUGAGUUUUUGAUUGAGUUAUUGCCAGGUACAGGCCCAAUAUCGAAGCGACCGUACCGGAUGCCAGCAAAGGAUUUGGUGGAAAUUAAGAAUUAGAUUAAGGAGUUAUUGGAUAAAGGUUACAUUCGCCCAAGUUCUUCGCCUUGGGGAUCACCCGUACUACUAGUGGAAAAGAAGGAUGGAUCAUUAAGGAUGGUUGUAGAUUAUCGGGGAUUGAAUGAAGUAACCAUCAAGAAUAAGUACCCACUACCAAUGAUCAAUGAUCUGUUUGAUCGAUUGCAAGGAGCUAAAGUGUUUUCCAAGAUCGAUUUGCGAUCAGGGUACCAUCAGUUGAAGAUUCGAGAGCAGGACAUACCUAAGACAACAUUCACCACAAGAUAUGGACUGUAUGAGUAUACCGUUAUGUCAUUUGGAUUGACUAACGCACCUGCCUAUUUUAUAAACCUGAUGAACAAAGUGUUUAUGGAGUUUUUGGAUAAGUUUGUCGUAGUGUUCAUUGAUGACAUCCUGGUUUAUUCAAAGAAUGAAGAGGAGCAUAAGGAACAUUUGCAUUUGGUUUUGGAGAAACUAAGGGAACAUCAGUUAUACGCCAAAUUCAGCAAAUGUGAGUUUUGGUUGAAGGAAGUUGGAUUCCUCGGACACGUUAUAUCCGGAGAAGGUAUAGCAGUUGACCCCACUAAGGUUGAGACCGUAACCGAAUGGGAAUCACCAACGACAGUUGGAGAGAUCCGGAGUUUUCUUGGACUCGCAGGAUACUACCGGAGAUUCAUUGAGAAUUUCUCAAAGAUUGCGAAGCCUAUGACGGAGUUGUUGAAGAAGGAUACUAAGUUCAAAUGGACUGAGGAGUGUGAGGCUAGUUUCCAGGAAUUGAAGAAACGCUUGGUUACCUCACCAGUAUUGAUUCUGCCAGAUCAGACCAAGGAUUAUGAGGUGUAUUGCGACGCUUCACGUCGAGGACUUGGAGCAGUGCUUAUGCAGGAAGUGAUUGUUGUUUCGUAUGCUUCACGGCAACUGAAGCCUCAUGAGUUGAAUUAUGCCACGCAUGAUUUGGAGUUAGCAGCCGUAGUGCAUGCAUUGAAGACGUGGAGACAUUUCCUCAUUGGAAAUCAUUGUGAGGUGUACACGGAUCACAAGAGUUUGAAGUACAUUUUCACGCAGAAGGAGUUGAACCUCUGACAAAGGAGAUGGAUGGAGCUCAUCAAGGAUUAUGACAUGAGAUUGCAUUACCAUCCCGGAAAAGCUAAUGUAGUAGCUGACGCAUUGAGCCGUAAGAGCCAUGUCAAUACUCUAAUGACGGGGAAAAUACCCAAGGAGUUAGCAGAAAACCUUCGUGAGCUAUGUUUGGAAAUAGUUCCGAGAGGCUAUGUAGCAACAUUGGAGAUUCAGUCAACAUUGAUGGAUAAGAUCAGAGAAGCUCAGAAAUCUGACAAGGAGAUUGCUGCUAUAAAAGAGAAAUUGAGCGAAGGAAAAGCAAAGGGAUUUCGUGAGGAUGAGCACGAUACCCUAUGGUUUGCGGACCGUGUUUAUGUGCCAAAUGACCCGGAGAUCAGGAAGUUGAUUUUGCAAGAGGCACAUGAUUCACCGUAUUCGAUUCACCUAGGGAAUACCAAGAUGUAUUUGGAUUUGAAGGAAAUAUUCUGGUGGACCGGAAUGAAGAAGGAUAUUGCAGCAUAUGUAGCAGUUUGUGACAUAUGUCAUAGAGUAAAGGCAGAGCAUCAGAAGCCAGCAGGAUUGUUACAACCAUUGCCGAUACCCGAAUGGAAGUGGGAUAAGAUAGGCAUGGAUUUUAUCACAGGACUACCCAGGACAAAAUCAGGCUAUGAUUCGAUAUGGGUAGUAGUUGAUCAUUUGACAAAGGUAGCACAUUUCAUUCCAGUUAAGACCACUUACACCAGUGCUAAGUUGGCAAAGAUAUACAUGACUAGGAUCAUUUGUUUGCAUGGAGUUCCGAGGAGUAUGGUAUCAGAUAGAGGAACCCAAUUUACCUCAAAAUUUUGGAAUCAGUUGCAUGAAACUUUAGGAACCAGACUAGAGUUUAGCACAGCUUUUCAUCCACAGAUGGAUGGACAGACCGAGAGAGUCAAUCAGAUUUUGGAAGAUAUGCUGAGAGCUUGUGCACUAGAUUAUGGAUCUAGUUGGGACGAUAACUUGCCAUAUGCGAAGUUUUCUUAUAACAACAGUUAUCAAACCAGUUUGAAGAUGGCACCUUUCGAAGCUUUAUACGGAAGGAGGUGCAGGACACCAUUGUCACGGGACGAAGUUGGAGACCGUCAAUUCUUUGGACCAGAUUUGAUUAAGGAGUCUGAACGGAAAGUUAAGUUGAUUCGCGAUAGGCUCAAGGUAGCCCAGUCUAGGCAGAAGAGCUACGCAGAUUCUAAACGCAAGGAGAUAGUUUACGAAGCCGGAGACAGAGUUUAUCUUCGAGUAUCCCCACUUCGAGGAGUUAAGCGCUUUGGAGUUAAGGGAAAAUUAGCACCGCGUUUCGUUGGACCGUAUGAGAUCUUGCAACGUAUGGGAGAAGUCGCUUAUAAGUUGGAAUUACCAGAGGGAUUGUCAGGAGUUCAUGAUGUAUUCCAUGUUUCUCAGCUGAAGAAAUGUCAUGCCGAGAUGGUGGAGGUACCGCUAAGAGAUACCGUGCCACUCGAAGCGAUUCAGUUGAAGGAUGACUUAACAUAUGAGGAGAAGCCAGUCAAGAUUCUCGAUUAUGCCAGCAGAGUUACCCGCAGCAAGGUUAUCAAGUUUUGCAAAGUUCAGUGGAACCACCACUCAGAGGAUGAAGCCACCUGGAAAGAGAAGAAGAUUUGCUCAAGGACCACCCUCACCUAUUUUCUAGCCAACCCGAAUCUCGAGGGCGAGAUUCAUCUUAAGGGGGGUAGGUUUGUAACAUCCCAAAUUUUCAAUUUGGAAUGUUAUACAUUAGAUCAUCAUGCAUAUCAUAUUUUCAUGCAUUUUGGUUGCUCCUAGAAAUUUCACGCAACUCAAGGACCUUCGGAGAGAGUUGGAGAUUUCGUUAUUUUCAUAUUUGAGAGUUUUCUCAAAUUUGAAAAGAGGAUCAUUUGAUUUAUUUAUUUCAUCUUCAAUUAUUUUUCCAAUAUCAAAAAAAUGAGACAGGGAAUAAUAUGACUUUCCCAAAGUUAGGAAAAAUGAAGAUUUAAUGAAUAAGUCAAAUUUUGGAUUUUCCGGUGUUUAUUCGCAUUUUAUUUGGGUAGGGAAAAAUGCGUGUUUUCAAAAAUUGCAUUCUAGGUCCGGAGUAAAGUUCUUUUUGUUCGACUCAUUUUCAGGAGUCGGGGAAAAUUUACUUUAGAGAUUUUGGAGUUCGUUUAGAUUUUCUUUCUUUUGUUUUUCUGUGCGUGAAUCCAGUUAAAAAAAAGAAAGGACCAAGGCCAGCCGGGCCAAAGGCCCAGCCAGCCGGCCACCUCCCCAGCCAGCGCGCGCACCAGGCGCAGCGCCAGGCCGCCGCCUCCAUCGCUCUAGGCCGAGUCCUAGAGGGACUCUAGGCCGGUUAGCCCCCCCUUUCCUUGUUUUGUUUUCCCUCUUUUGCUUGCCCCCUACCCCAAGUAAUCGCCUCCCCACCUAUAUAAAUACACCCCAAACCCCCCCCCCUCUCCUCACAUCAAUCCCAAGCCCCUCUCCUCCUUAGCCGCGCCCCACCCCGCACCCCUCACCCGCCGCCGCCGCCCUAUAGCCGCCGCCGCCGCCCUAUAGCCGCCGUCGCCGCCGUUCGCCGGAGCCUCGCCGAGGUUGUCCCGCGCGGCGUCUCUUUUUCUCCCUUCGGUUCAGUUUUUCUUCUAAACCGUUUCGGUUCUUUCUUAACCGUUCCGGUUUUCUUUCGUUCUUUGUUUCAGUUUUCUUUUCCGAAAACCCUAGAUCGGUUUUCGUUCUUCUUUCGGACCGUUCGUAUCAACGAACGUGAUCACCGAUUAUUCCCCGGUUAACGACGCCCGUUCGUUUAAUCGUUCUUCCUUUUCUUUUCGUCGGAUUUAUUCCGCGAUCGCGAUCUCAGAUCCGAUCUUCAUUCUAGUCUUUCUUCUCGCUCGUUUAUCGGAAUCAGGUGAUUCAAGCACCUGGAGUUUCGUUUCGAAACCGCCGUUCCGUCUAAUCAACUUAAACAAGUUUUUGCCCCGGUAAAAUUUGACCUAGUUUCAACUUGCUAGAACCGAGUUGUUUUCUUCCGCCGCUUGUUUUCCGUUUCUUUGUUCGGUUCGUUCUUUCUUUGCAACCGGAGUUCUUAAGUUGAACCUUCUGGUUCGUUCUCUUGUUUGAGUUUUACCUGUGCAUUAGAUGAGUACUUAUUGUGCACUUGUUGUUUGUCUGCGAUAGAUCACCCGGAUUGCGCCGCCUAUUACUUCGAUUCCCUAGGUCUCGCGGAUCAUCAGCAAGGCAAGUAACACUUUGAUCAUACCUUUUCUAGAACCCAGUUUUAUUGCAUUAGAUCAAUCCUCUCACAUUGCAUGAUUAGGAUCUAAUUAAACUGUGGGAUGGGAAGUAGAUGAGGUAGUACCUAUCACCUGUAUUAUUAUGAAACCUUUGGGAGUUACUUCUACGUUGCUUAUUAUGCCAUGCUAUGCUAGUAGACGUGGAUUGGGUGAGUGAUAUCCAUGACAGAUGUGAGUUGAUAAUUUUAAUGGUUUAUCUAAGGUGGCAACUUAAACACACAUCUGGGUGGAUUGAGGCACCUGAUGUCUAUCAGGACUUGCCUGUUUUUUUUGGACCGCCACCCAGGCUCAAAUGGAUCAUAAGAUAAUUCAUACUAGAAACUUCCGUGUGCAGCCACAUGCUACUAUGGGCUCUGGCAUAGUUGACUAAGUUGUGUGAACUCUUACGGGGUGGACUAGCAGAUGUAGGGGUUGUAGGUGGUACGGUCUACCCCACAUGUAAGGUUCUAGCGCUUCUGAAAGACUAUGUCUCGGUCAUCCGUUUCUCAAACACCAUGUAGUGCGAGAAAAUAAACGGAGGCGAUCGAGUCAUGUGGGGAAAAGUGCGCAAACCUCUGCAGAGUGUAUAAACUAAUCAUGAUUAGCCGUGUCCCCGGUUAUGGACAACUUGAGUAUCUAGUACUUGAAUAUCAUGUGAAUCUCAUCACGUUACUUAUAAUUAAUGUUGUUGGGUUUUAAUUGUUCACUUAAUUGGGAUUGGAAUGCUGUCAACCAUUCUCGAUGUUUAACAACUACCAUGAUAGUUAAAUAAAUUUAUUCCUUUGCAGUAGGGAAAAACUGGCUUUACGCAAAACUAUAACCAUAGAGCUUUCCACCAGCCAUAUAUGCAUGUAGUAUAGCUGUUUCUUUCCAUUACUCUCUAUGUGUUACAUUGCCAGCAUAUUCCAUGUGCUUACCCGUUUUCGGGCUGCAACUUUCAUGUUGCAGACUUUUCAGACGACGAGUAAGGUGCUUUUAGGUCGUGGUUCUAUACUCAGUGAUGCCAUUGGAGUUGAUGGACCCAUUUAUCUUCCGAGUCUUCCGUUGUUAUCGGCAUUAGAUGGCCUUAAGCCAUAUUUAUUGUAAUAAGUUCUCUUUGAGACAACGAUGUAAUAAGUGUGUGAUUGCCACUCUGCUAUAAAUCCUUCGAUGUACUGUGUGGUGUCAGCAUUACUGAUCCAGGGAUGACACCUGAGCACAGAGCACUUGAUCCAUUCGGGUCGGGUCGCUACAUUCCAAGAGGCUUUGUUGCAACAAUGGAGGUUCAGUCUACAUUAUUGGGAAAGAUUCAAUGAGCUCAGAAGGAUGAUGAGGAAAUUGCCGAGAUUAAGGAGAAGAUGAGCAAAGGAAAAGCCAAAUGUUUUCGUGAGGAUGAACACGAGACUUUAUGGUUUGAGGAUCAUGUAUACGUGCCCAAUAAUGCGGAGAUCAGGAAGUUAAUACUUCAGGAAGCUCAUGACUCGCCAUACUCAAUUCACCCCGAAAACACCAAGAUGUAUUUGGAUUUGAAGGAGCGUUUCUGGUGGACAGGCAAGAAGAAGGAUAUUGCUGAGUAUGUAGCAGUAUGUGACGUAUGUCAGAGAGUGAAGGCAGAGCAUCAGAAGCCAGCCGGAUUAUUACAGCCCAUGCCGAUACCCGAUUGGAAGUGGGACAAGCUUGGCAUGGAUUUCAUCACCAGAUUACCAAGGACCCGAUCAGGAUAUGAUUCCAUCUGGGUAGUAGUUGAUCGCCUAACCAAGGUAGCUCACUUUAUCCCAGUGAAAACCACCUAUAAAAGCGCGUAGUUGGCCAAGAUAUAUAUGACCUGGAUUGUAUGUCUGCAUGGAGUUCCGAGGACCAUCGUAUCAGAUAUAGGGACAUAGUUUACCAUGAAGUUUUGGAAUCAAUUGCACCAGACUUUGGGUACUAUGCUGGAGUUCAGUACAGCCUUUGAUCCGUAGACAGAUGGACAGACCGAGAGAUUUAAUCGGAUUCUGGAGGACAUGUUGAGAGCAUGUGCGCUAGAUUAUGGAUCUAGUUGGGAUGAUAAUUUACCUUACGCAGAGUUCUCAUAUGACAACAGUUACCAGGCUUGUUUGAUGAUGGCACCUUUUGAAGCCUUGUAUGGAAGGAGAUGCAGGACACCAUUAAUGUGGGUUGAAGUUGGAGACCGUCAGUUGUUUGGACCGGAUUUCAUCAAAGGGUCCGAAGAGAAGGUUAAGUUGAUUCGAGAUAGACUGAAGGUAGCUCAGUCCAGGCAGAAGAGUUAUGCCGACACUAAACGCAAGGAGGUAGUCUAUGAAAUAGGAGAUAGAGCAUAUCUUCGUGUGUUGCCACUCCAAGGAGUUAAAAGAUUUGGAGUUAAGGGAAAGUUAGCCCCGAGAUUUUUAGAACCAUACCAAGUUCUGGAACGUAUGGGAGAGGUUGCCUACAAAUUGGAGUUACCCGAAGGAUUGUCAGGAGUUCACGAUGUGUUUCACGUUUCCCAGUUGAAGAAGUGCCAUGCUGAGAUGGCCGAUAUUCCCCUAAGAGAUACAGUGCCUCUCUAAGUAAUUUAGUUGGAGAUUUAUCUAACAUACGAGGAGAAACCUGUCAAGAUUCUUGAGUUUGCCAGCCAAGUUACCCGCAGCAAGGUUAUCAAGUUUUGCAAAGUUCAGUGGAGCCACCAUACCGAGGAUGAAGCCACCUGGGAGCGAGAAGAAGACCUACGGAAAGACCACCCACACCUAUUUUCUAGCCAACCCGAAUCUCGAGGGCAAGAUUCAUCUUAAGGAGGGUAGGUUUGUAACAUCCCAAUUUGCAAUUCGGAUGUUAUACAUAGGUCAUCAUAUGCAUAUCAUAUUUUAUUUGCAUAUUUGGUUGUGAUCCUAGAAAUCUUAAGCAACUCAAGGACCCAAGGACAGAGUUGGGGAUUUCAUACAUUUUCAUAUUUGAGUUUUUCUCAAAUUUGAAAAGAGGAUCCAUUUGGUUUUAAUAUGUUUCUCUCUAAUUAUUUCCAAUAUUUAAAUUAAAAGAGAGAAGAUAAUAGACUUCUUCAAAAAGAGAGGAAUAUUGGAGGAGAAAUUUUAAAAUCAAAUUUAUAUUUUAUUUGGUUUUUAUUUGAUAUUUUAUUUGAAUUAGAAAAGUAUGCAUUUUUGGAAAUUGCAAUUUUAGCCCAGAAAAAUGUUCACUUCGUUCUAAAUAAUAGGUUUAGACGGAGAAAAUUGUUUUGGCAUUUUUUUAGAAUUUUUUUAUAUUUUAUUAGGAUUUUAUUCGGGCGGAAUUUUAUUUAAAAAAAUCCUUCCCUCGCCCAACUGGGCCGAAGGCCCAGCUGACCGGUCUAGUAGCCCACAUCGCCGCCGCCUUCCUCCCGCGCGGGGACGAGACCCGCCGCCGCAUGCAGCCGAGGGGAGUCCAAGCCGGACUCCACCCCUCGCCGCCCCCUUGCCCAAGGCCGACCCCCCUGGCCUUUAUAACCACCGCCGCCGCCGCUUCCUCCCUCACCCCGAGCCGCCGCACCACCGCCACCAAGCCGCGCCGUCGCCGCCUUUGCGCCACCGAGCCGUGCCGCUACUGCCUGCUGCUGCGGCGCCGCCUCGCUCGCGCUGCUGCCUUUCCUCGCCGCCCGCCAGAGUCCGCCGCCGUUGUUUCGUCGUUGCCGAGAAAUGGUACAAACCGCCCUGGUUCACCGGUUUAUUUUCGGGUUUUUUCGGUUCUCGGUUUAGAUCGGUUUAGGGUUAGGCUUUUCUUGGUUUUUUCCAAAUGAAUCUAUUUAGCAAACGUUCUUUGUUCUGUUUGUUUUAAUGAACAUGUUCGUUCGUUUGUCCUGACAGCGAACGUUCGUUCGAUAGCCUUUUUCUUUUAUUCUAUUUUCGGCUAGGGACCUAUCCACGAUUAUUUUUAUCGCAGAUUAGCCCAUGAUCUUCAAGCCCUCACAACUUUUUGCUCGCUCGUCCAAAUCCAGUGAAACCAACGCCAAAAUAUUCUUCUUGUUCCCCUCUUUCUAGUUAGCUAACUUGAAUAUGGAUUAAAAAUUUUAAAAUUUGGUUGCAAGCAGAUUUCAAUUCAAACUUCUUUUGAUCGUAGUUUGAGUUUCGUAGCUCCGAUUUGGUUGAUUCUUUUUGCAAAUGAAAGCUCUUCAAUUGAACUUUCAAUUUGUAUCUUUUCUCUUGAGUUUUACCAUUGCAUCUAUUGCUUGAGUGUUUAUGUAUGUUAUUGUUUGUUUGCGAUAGAGUUUCCGGAGUGCGAAGCAUGCUACUACGAGUCACUAGGGUUUUUAGAUCGUCAGCAAGGCAAGUAACACUUUGAUCAUACCCCUUAUUACCUAGUUUUUAUGCAUUAUUUCUAUCCUUGAACACUGCAUGGUUAGGACUUGAAUAUUUGUGGGUACUGGGAAGUAGUGAUGAGGUAGUACCUAUUGUCUUUAUUUCAAACCCUGGAAGUUACUUCUACGUUGUGCUUAUACUGCUAUGCUAUGCUCGUAGACGUGGUUUGGUUUGAGUGAUCCAUGACAUAUGUGAGAGUUUUAAUUAAUGGUUAAACUUAAGGUGGCUACUUUAAUACACAUCUAGGUGGAUUGGUUGAGGCAACCAGGAACACCCAGUGGUUGUCUGGGCACCUGGAGCAAUCCAGUUUUGUCCUGGGAUAUCCCGGAGUACCCAUGUGAUCAUCCUACGGUUUGGCACCCAGGCUCGAAGGGAUCAUAAGAUUAUACAUGCUGGAAACUUACGUGUGCAACCACAAGCCAUUAUGGGCUCUGUCAUAGUUGAGUAAGUUGUGUGACCUCUUUCAUUGGUAUGCUAGCAGAUGUAGGGGAUGUAGGUGGUACUGUCUACCCAGAGUAAAGAGUUAAUGCUUCUGAAAGACUGUGUCUUGGUCAUCUGUUUCUCAAACAUCAUGUAGUGAGAAAUACAGCGGAGGAGAUCGUGUCUUGUGGUGAAAAGUACGCAAACCUCUGCAGAGUGUAUAAACUAAUCAUGGUUAGCCGUGUCCCCGGUUAUGGACAUCUUGAGUAUCUGGUACCUGAAUUAUUGAUUUGAUCUCAUCACUCUAUUAAUUAAUUUGUUGGGUUGAUGACUAUAUAGUUUGGGAUUGAGUUGGAGGAACCUUCUCAAUGUUUCCAACAAACUUUGUAGUUAAAUAAAAUAUAUUCCUUUGGUGUAGGGAAAAAUUAGCUUUCUGCAAAAAUAACCAUAGAGCCUCCACCAGCCAAGUAUGCAUAUAGUUAUAGCUGCUACAUGUUCAUUGCUCUCUAGUGUUAUUUUUCCAGCAUAUUCCAUGUGCUGACCCAUUUCGGGCUGCAACGUAUUAUGUUGCAGACUUUUCAGACGAAGAGUAAGGUGCGCUAGGUCGUUGUCGUGCACUCAGCAAUGUCGUCGAAGUUGAUGGACUUAUUUUACAUUUGAAGUGUUUGAUGUUAUUUUCAUUAGAUGGCCUUCAGCCAUAUUAUUGCAACAAGUACUCUCUUUUGAGAUAUUCGAUGUAAUAAGUGUGUGAUUGACCUCUGUUAUAAAUCCUUCAAGUACUAUGUGUGUCAGCAUUAUUGAUCCUGGGAUGACACUUAUACGCAGAGAUUUGACCGCUUGAGGUCGGAUCACUACAGCCAAGCCGGGCCGACCGGUCCAUGUCAAGAUUUUUCGGGCUUGAGCCAGGCUUGUGCUGUAUUUAGUAGGCCUGACGGUCAGGCUGAGCCAGGCUCGGGCCUGGGUUUUCAGCACCGGCCGUGGUGGAAAGUAGGGGCCGGGCGGUGGGGGGAGGGGCCGGAUCUGGUGGCUUGGGUGACAGGGGCGAUAGGUGGCAGGGAGCGUGGGAGGACUGCCAGAGACGAAGAAGAUGGCGGGGAUCUAGGGUGCGGCUGUGAGGAUCUGUGGGGAGUGGGGCUUGGGGCCGACCGUGCGGGGGAGAGAGUAAGAUCGUGGGUGGAGUGGGUCAGAUGGGGUGGUCUUUAUCUUUCUUUCGUUGGUGCGCCUCGGGGUCAGUUCGGUGGGGGUGUGUGCAGAAUAAGGUUUCUGUUGUUAGAAUAAGGUCUUAAGGGGUGUUGUUCGAAUAGACCCACUCAAUUUAUAUGGCUUGUUCCCUAUAACGACUACGAUGAGGGAUAUUAUAUGGCUUGUUCCAUAGUGGUGUGGGACUUCCAAUUUUUUUUAUUAAUUUCUCAUUAUCUGACAUGAUAAUGAUGAUUUAUUUUUCUAUGUCGUGGCAAUAAAAUGAUUUUAGCUACACAAUGGAAAAAAUAUGCUAAAUCAAAAAAUAUAAAUAGCUUAUUAUUAAUUUACUUGUAUGAACCGAAUCAGGUUUCACAGAAACAAUAUAAGCAUUCACCUUCACGCAAUAUUUCUAGUACAUAUAUAAACUCAUUUCAUGGUACUUCUCAGUUCUUUCUGCAGCAGCAUGUGCUACUACUGCCUUCAACACAACUGCUCUUAUCCUUGUCAUAACCUCGGUUAACAUAGUUAGCUUUGCACGCAAUGUUGCCACUAGCUCGGUCUGGUGGCGAACAAUAGUCCACAGUUGUACAUAGGUUUGUAUCUGUGUAGUAAUCACAAUAGAGAUACCUCAAUCAACACAUAUAACCCACCAGGAAAAUAUAUAUUUGUGUAUCCAAAUACGAGUGAAGAGAUUAUGAAAGAAAGAAGAAAACCAUAC